rnacentral:lncRNA from 1 species
CCGCCCGCCUACGAGCAGAGCCUCAGCAACCCACAUCCCCACGGCAACCCCCACCCGCACCCACGCUCCCCCAGGACUGCCCGGCACGGGGGUGGCGUGGGCCCACCACCUCCACUUGCUCCCCCUCACCCCCGACGAGUCCCAAACGGUUACCGCUCGUCUUCGCCCUCCCCGCACCGGCGAGGGCCCCCACAUCAACACCCCCAUCCGGGAGGACCACCCCACAGGUCCCCCCCUCAUCACCGGGUCCCCCAUGGAGGCCCCAGAGGCCCCCGGAAGGGCCUGCACGAACCCUACAGCGAGACGGACGAGGACGACUGGUGCUAGCACAGCGAAGGAACAGAAGAACGAGGGAGGAGAGGAAGAGAGGAAAAGGAGGGAGGAGAGGAGUCUCUCCGUCUCCCCGUCCUCUGUUCUUCGUUAUGCAGACUUGAAUGAAGGGUAAAGGGAUGCAGAAGGGGUGAGGAAAGGAAAGGAAAGGAGGAGAGGAGAAUUUGGGAGAAGUCUCUCCAUCUCUCUACCUCUACACCUGAGACUCAGGCUUGGAUGGAAUGAUGAGGGAUGGAGGGAUGGUUAGAGGAGAGGAGGCACAGUGUGUGGGUGUGUGAGACUCUAAACUCAGAGCAGACAUGACAAAGAGAGACCGCUGUAAGGCAGAACAACGCACCUCUCCUCUUCUCCUCUGUCUCAACUACCAUACCGAGAGUUCUCAGCGUGCCCAGGGGGGAGUGGACCGAGGGAUGGUGGAGAGGUGCUGACGGAGGUGUGCAGAGGUGCUGACGGAGGUGUGGAGAGGGAAGAAAGAACAAAAGAAUGAAAGGAAGGGAGGAGCAUGUAUACUAAGUUACAAGUGGCCAAUGAACGGUAAAUAAAGCCCCUCUCCCAGACUGUUUAGGAGAUAGGUGGGUUAGUUAAGUUAAGCUAAACCUGGGUGCUCUUGCUGUUCUGUCAUUCUAUUCUACUAGCCUGAUAAGUGUUAGGAGCUAACAGCUAAACGCUAGCUAGCUAACACUGCUCUUGGUCUAACCUAGACGGACAUGUUUAAAAAAGAAAAACAAUGAAAACCCAUGCCAGGACCCCCUAUCCUUAUACACGCCAAGCUAUGCCUCCAGAAAAAUCUAACUUGAAGACUAAAGAACAGAAAACAAACUUUUAAAAAAAAAGAGGAGAAAAAAAGGGAGAACAACCACUUUAACUUAAACUUUCCUUAAAGGGACUAGAACCAGGAAGCUCCGCCUCUACUGCAAAAACCAGCCAAUGACAGAGCUGGCUGAUAUUUGAUGAGUUUUAUCAUCUCCUGUUUACUGUUACAGACUCACGAAAUGCUGACGACGGACCUGGUGUGACCUCACUUCCUGUGGGUGGGGCCUAGUGUGACAUCACGUCCUUUUCCGGUGGGUGGGGCCACAGGGGAGGGGCUGGGGGCAGAGUUAUGGACCCUUAGGGGGCGUAGUUUGUUUGCCCCCACUAUCUUCUCUCCCCCCUUCCUCUCUCCUCCAUCCUGCCGAAAAAGAAAGGACAGGAAAGGAAAAUGAUGGGAGGAGGAGCGGAAAGAAAGAAGGGGAGGGAAAAGACGAUUUCUUCAGUAUUUCUUCUAUCGAUUACUUCUUCUUCUUCUAGUUCUUCUUCUUGGACAUUGCAGCUUGGUUCUUCUGUUGCAUUCGCUCAAGCCUCUGUUAAUCCGUUAUGAUGCAUGAAGGAAUUUAACAACAAAAAAAUACCUAGAGAGAAAAUCUACUGUUGGGGAUAUGGGGGCAUAUUGGGUUUAUAGAACAUUUACAUUUUAGAUUUUGAUUGAAGAAGUUCUCUUUUUCUGACUCUCUCUCUCUCUCUCUCUGACUCUGUCUAUCAUCAUGCGUUUGUUUAUUGAGUAAAUGUUUGUUCUAUAUCACCCUAAGGAUCCGAUGGACAACCUUUUUUAAGUUUGAUUUCCACCCAAUAGGGUUUUAAAGCUACCAUUUUCUUAUCUUGAAAGUACUCCUAUGUUCCUGAGAUACUCCUAAAUUUUACUAAGAUACUCCUGUUGUACUAAGAUAUUCCUGAGUUGUUUUGAGGAAUAAGUAAGAAUUGAGAGAGCUAUGAGGAGAGAAAACUUCAACCUCUUUAAAUAAUUGAUUUGUAUUGUUAAUAAUGAUGAUAGUCCUAUAAAUACUGAUAUCAAUGUCAAUGCUAAACGAUGAAUGAUGAUAGUUGUUUGCCGUAGAUCUGUUGUCAUGUUUUUUGGAGUUUCAAUCUGCUGUGUCAUCUAGUUUUCAUCGUUUAUUUUCCUUGGGUUCUGUUCAAACUGUUCCCAAACUGUUCCCAAACUGCUCCCAAACUGUUCCAAAACGCCUUUAACCGGGUCCGAUACAUGCAACACGCAUAAACUUUUCAGGGAGGGGUUAGAUGUCGGAUUGUGAUUGUGAGCAACACAGAUAGAACUGUGUAGCGUUGUGUAACGCAGCUCUUUACCUCUGAUAGGUCCCCCCUCAGUGGUAGACAGAGAACCGGGGCCACGUUCAGUAGCCAAAUGUUGUCAAACGUUGCAGAUAGAAAUGUCAUUAACAGAGCCGACAUGGUUCUUCAUUCUACGUGUAAGAGACGCAUGUUUGUUCUAAAUAGCAUUUUUCUAUCCGAGCGUUCCAAAAACAUUGUGUCCUACUGAGUGCGCCCCAGUCAUAGCCAAAUCAACCGGCCAACCAACCAACCGUCAGACCUCCACACAGUAUCUGAUUUACAGCUGGCUGUGAACCAUAGAGUUAGAAAGAGGACUUAUAUCGGGUUAUAUCCACCUAGAGCCCUCUUUCUACCUCUAUGUUGUGAACGAGCUCCACCUCACAUCCCCAAGAGCUCUCCACUAGCUGUCUAGUCUCUCUGUCUUUCUGAUUCUCCAUCACAUGUUUAGCAUUGAGCUGCUUGCUUUACCAAGCCAGAGGAGAACAUUCUAGAAACAUUUUAGAAUCUCUAAGACGUUCUAGAAACUCUAGUCUAGACUCUAGAAACUCUAGUACAUUCUAGAGCAUUCUUUAGAGAGGUUAGCUAACAUGAUUGUAUCCAGAUGUUUUGGAUUAAAACAUAUUUAUUUUGCUAUGAUUACAAUUAUGUAGAUUGUAACAGAUAUUCCCUAUCAUAACUCGUAAAAUGAUAGAUACAAUAUAGAUAUAUAGAGAUAUAAAAGUUUAUAUAUUAUAGAGAGAAAAACGUACUUUUAUUUACUUCAAACACUCUAGCUACGAAGCUAGAGCUCAGAAACUCUCCAUUGAAAUCAGCUACACAGAUUCAAAUUGCACUUUGUCACUGUAGCUCCACACAAUAUCCCACUACAAACUCUAUGCAGAUCUAUCCAACAUUCAUUUCUCCUUUACCAUUAUAGUGCAGAGUAGUUGUGCCAUUAUAAAUAAAUGACAAUACGUAAGUGAGCGCAUAGAAAUGGAAUGUGUAGAACAGGCCUCCCAAUUCAAGUCAAUGAUGGCAUAUCUAUAGAUUAUAUUUCUAUGGGUCAGAUGGUGUAGUGUCAGAUAGUGUAUAUACAACAUUUUAAUAUAGAUGGAUAGAAGUAUAUAGAUAGAGGGUAUGCCCACAUCGUUUUGCUUUUGCACAAUCACUCACAAAAUCCUUAUCCUUCAUAGCACAUCUUUCCUUUAUUUUUUACCCUCCUGCAGUGUUUUGUCCUCUCCUGCUCCCUCUAUCGUUCUCCCAAGCUGUCCAAUCCCAUAUACCACCCCUGCCCUCCGUAUAGGUAGGUCCAGAGAGAGAGAGGGGGGGCCUACAUAUACCACCCCUGCCCUCCGUAUAGGUAGGUCCAGAGAGAGAGAGGGGGGGCCUACAUAUACCACCCCUGCCCUCCGUAUAGGUAGGUGCAGAGAGAGAGAGGAGGGGCCUACAUAUACCACCCCUGCCCUCCAUAUAGGUAGGUCCAGAGAGAGAGAGGGGGGGCCUACAUAUACCACCCCUGCCCUCCGUAUAGGUAGGUCCAGAGAGAGGGGGGGGGGGCCUACAUAUACCACCCCUGCCCUCCGUAUAGGUAGGUCCAGAGAGAGAGAGGGGGGGCCUACAUAUACCACCCCUGCCCUCCGUAUAGGUAGGUCCAGAGAGAGAGGGGGGUCCUACAUAUACCACCCCUGCCCUCCGUAUAGGUAGGUCCAGAGAGAGAGGGGGGCCUACAUAUACCACCCCUGCCCUCCGUAUAGGUAGGUCCAGAGAGAGAGGGGGGGCCUACAUAUACCACCCCUGCCCUCCUUAUAGGUAGGUCCAGAGAGAGAGGUGGGGGCCUACAUAUACCACCCCUGCCCUCCAUAUAGGUAGGUCCAGAGAGAGAGGGGGGGCCUACAUAUACCACCCCUGCCCUCCGUAUAGGUAGGUCCAGAGAGAGAGAGGGGGGCCUACAUAUACCACCCCUGCCCUCCGUAUAGGUAGGUCCAGAGAGAGAGGGGGGGCCUACAUAUACCACCCCUGCCCUCCAUAUAGGUAGGUCCAGAGAGAGAGGGGG